ensembl:lncRNA
CCUGCAGGGGUCGCUGGGGUGCGGGAUCUGUAUAGACAGACACUUCCUGUUUAUGUUUUAUGGCGGGUCGUAAACAUAGUAUAAAAAGGGGGCGACGGCUGCUGUAGGGUCCCCGCAUUCAUCAAGUUGGCUGCAGUAUUCUUUUCAUUCGACAUGGACUGCUCAUCAGAAGAAACCCAUAGAUCAGAUAGUCCUUAUUGUUUGUAUAGGGGCCCUCGUACCCCGUCGCCGCUGUCUUCCCCCGCCAUGGACGACUCUGUGUCGAGCAAUGAGGACAUUGAAAACCAGAUGCCUGAUGGCUUGAGAGACCGGAGUGCCGGGGAUUCAUUCACCCACGUUGGCGAAUACGGCUUGGAGUAUGUAAUAUCAUGGGUCGAUGGCUGUGUUAUUUUGAAAGUUAAAGAUUGUGCUACAGAGUGGCGGAUGAACGUUCACGAGUGGAAUUUUUUCUUGGAGAAUUUAUGCCCCAUGCUAGACGGCGACGAGGGUACAUGGCAUGGGGGACCCCAUGAAUACCGUUGGACCUUUCAGUAUGAUCCGAGGAUUCAACAUCGUUUGGCAUGCGCCUUUCAGUAUGAAUCGAGGAUUCAUCGCAUGGAUGCAAACUAUCAUACGAAGAGACCACAGGAUUUCAUUUUUUUCAGACGCGGUGUUGAUACAGACGAGCUACCACAGUGCUAUGAUAUGCAUUGCAUCGGUAGCUCUCCUCUACGCGCCAGUGUUUUAGAAGCUGCUGAUUAUUUUGAUAAUGUCUUUUUCAUGCAGUGGGCUGAUCUGUCUGCACUACGUGGAAUUUUUGCAGAGAUUGAUUCUUUGGCUAAGACGAAUGAAGAACCAUGGAGCACAACUGAUGAUGAAUGCCGAAUGUGCCUGUUUGAGUCGUCUGGGUUUGAUGAUGGGGUACAUGGUGUGUUUGAGUAUGUUUAGGGUUAUGCUAGCAUUAGAAAAUGCCCGCAAUGUAUAAGAAGGUGGAGGGUACAUACUAGUAGUAUUAAGGGUGUU